rnacentral:rRNA from 1 species
GACGAACGCUGGCGGCGUGCUUAACACAUGCAAGCCGAACGGAAAGGCCUGCUUUCCCUUGUGGAUUGCGGGUACUCGAGUGGCGAACGGGUGAGUAACACGUGAGUGAUCUGCCCCCAACUUGGGUAUAAGCCUGGGAAACUGGGUCUAAUUCCCGAUAGGACUGCAGGGUGGUUCCUGUGGUGGAAAACGAUUUUCUAGUGGUUGGGGAUGAGCUCGCGGCCUAUCAGCUUGUUGGUGGGGUAAUGGCCUACCAAGGCGGCGACGGGUAGCCGGCCUGAGAGGGUGGACGGCCACAUUGGGACUGAGAUACGGCCCAGACUCCUACGGGAGGCAGCAGUGGGGAAUAUUACACAAUGGGCGGAAGCCUGAUGCAGCGACGCCGCGUGGGGGAUGACGGCCUUCGGGUUGUAAACUCCUUUCGACCGCGAGGAAGCCACCUGGUUGGAAGGGUGGUGACGGUAGUGGUAGAAGAAGCACCGGCUAACUACGUG